AGUGGCUGGAGAUUAGAAUGGCAGCCUUCAGAGUAUGUCUCCUCCCUAAGGCCUGCAGAGUGCUGACCCAUAACUGCAGGGAACAGGGCCCUGCAGUCUCCAUGUCCCCAGGCUGAGAGGAAUAACUAAGAACCCGAAGAGCCAGGCUCCCACGGGCAGGCUGCCCUGGAUCCAGAGGGACAGUCCUCCACAUCACAGGGAUGUGGCACUGGCCAAUGGGGGGCUGGGGAAGUCAACUGAUGAUGGGAAACCCUGGAGCAGGAGUUUCCUGAUGUGGCCCCAACACCUUUCCGGCAUCUAGGACAACAGUUCUGUCACCCACACCUUCUGCAGGACCCCCAGAUGGUCGGUCUAUCGUGCCUGGGACUCCACUCACCCAUGGGCAGUGAGCAUGUGCAUCUGAAUGGCAACUGUUUUUGCUCAGGGAAGAAGGAGAGGUUGCAGGGUACAAUGGAUCAUGCCUACGUAUCAGCAACGAGGAGGUGUGGACAAAAGGAUCGCUGUACUUUCUAGACCAGACAACCAGCCUUCACGGCAAGGUCUAGGCCAGCCAGAGUUGCACGGCCCAUGAAGAACAUGCUGACGGUGCCUAAGAGCCAGGGACUUCCCGGACAAGACCACAUGGCUGGGGUUGCCAGGGGACCCUGUCCAGACCACAGGCGUGUCCACGACACGGGAGGAGGCUCCAGGCUGGGAAGGGAAGUGCUGGCCUCCUUGCCCUGCUCCAGGGACUGUGGGGGGCCAUGCUUGUGGGCUGAGUGUGGCUGCUCCAGCUGCAAACUUUCUGCCCCCGCCUCGCCUGCCCAAGUCCCUCAGGCCUUUCUGUUCCUCCCACCCCAACUCCCUCCUAGGGAAGCACCGCCCACCCUUUCCUCUCUAGACCAUGGGAAGCGAUGGAGUCCAAAAGUUGGGUCUGCAAAAACAAUUUCUCCAGGAUCUUGGCUUGGGAAUGGUGCACCUUGAGUUCUCACAUCACAGUGGACAAGCUGGCAUUGACCCUCAGCUCAGUGUCCCACAGGACCCACGGAUCCAUGAAAGUGAGGGGUGGCAACAGGUCCCUCAGUCUCCCGGCAGGGAGGGGGACCAGCGCGGGUCUGGACAUCUAGGUAAAUGGCUCACAGCCUAGCAGGAUGUCUGAGUACUGGGCCCCCAAGUCAGAGCCCAGGUUGUCUGAGGGCAUCAUCUGCCAACCCAGGAUCCUGACCCUGAGAGGAACUACAGUUGACACUCUGCUCCACUAUUGCCCCAGAAGAGGGUCCUUCUGACUGGAGGCCUGAGGGAAAACAGCCUGGCCAGCCCCUACCCUAGCUGAAUGAAGGCAGGGCCUGCUCCAGUGAGAGGCUGGCAGACCUGUGCCAAGCUCUUCCAGCCUAGGGCCCUCAUCACCCCGUACUGGCCUGUUUCUGACUUGGGGGUCUUUUAGGGGUGCUUUUUACAGCUGCUUCAGCUAAGCCCAUUAAAGCAGGGGCUGCUGUCUGCAGGGUCUGUGAAAUUCAGGAGGUUGGGGCAGGUCACAGUCCUGCCCCUCUGGACCCUCUGACAAGUCACCUCCUGUGGGUUUCUGGCUGUUCCUGGGGGUCUUCACUUCCCUCCCUUUCCUGAUGAAAAGUGAAGGACUGAGCAUAACGCCCUCACCGCACACGCCACAUCUCCUGUCCAAGCAGUAAAGGCAGCGGAGAUCCCCAGCCCUAAGGUCACUUCCAUGAGUGUUUCAAGGGCACUUCUGGGCACUGGUGACCUUGGCAUGGAGUUCUCCUAUGGGGUAGCCAACUUCCUGGAACACUGGCCCAGGAGACAUCACUCCCUUCCACAGUUCAGGAUGGCCCAGGCAGGCCCCAUAUGGGCCACAGAUGAUAGUGACCAUGACUCUAACUUUGGAAGAGUGGGAUUCUCCUCGCCAUCCUGGCCCUGGUGGGAAACCUGCGAGAGAUCCUGUGGGCCUUGCCAAGUGGACAGCCUCGUGGUGGGCGGCAACUGUCCGGGGGAAGAGAAGCAUUCCUAUUCCUUGAGGCUUUCCUCAGCCUACCUGGCUUCUAAGGGACCUGAAAGAAACCCUAGGACCUGGGAUCUGUGUUCCAUUGUCACCUCUGAGGACUGGAGAGAUGGCACUGGGCCAGGCAAGCAGAGCCCUGGGCAGACCUGGCAGCCACUUUCUAAACUCUGCCUGCUGACCAGGAGCCAAGCCCAGGCAGGGCUGGUGCAGUGGCUGCCUGGGAGCCCAGUUCAGCUUGGGCCCUAGCCAGGGCCACUGCCUCAGGCCAAGUCCAGCCGGGAACUAGGCUGA